GUGUCAGCCGCCGCGGUAAUACCGGCGGCUCGAGUGGUGGCCGAUAUUAUUGAGUCUAAAGGGUCCGUAGCCGGCUUUGCAAGUCUUGUGGGAAAUCCAGCGGCUUAACCGUUGGGCGUCCGCGAGAUACUACAUUGCUUGGGACUGGGAGAGGUAAGAGGUACUCAGGGGGUAGGAGUGAAAUCCUGUAAUCCUUUGGGGACCACCGGUGGCGAAGGCGUCUUACCAGAACAGGUCCGACGGUGAGGGACGAAAGCUAGGGGCACGAACCGGAUUAGAUACCCGGGUAGUCCUAGCCGUAAACGAUGCUCGCUAGGUGUCACAGCAGUCGUGAACUGCUGUGGUGCCGUAGGGAAGCCGUGAAGCGAGCCACUUGGGAAGUACGACCGCAAGGUUGAA
rnacentral:rRNA from 1 species